CUCAGAGACCCUUUCCUAGGGAGCCCCUUUUCCUCUCCUACCUCAGAUUCUGACGAAGCCCUGGCCAGGCCCCAUGCAGCUCCUUUCUGUUUCUGGAGAGUGGCUGGGACAGGACUGGAAGCAGAUGAGAGAGGCUAAGGUCCCUAUGAGGACGCAGCUCUUGGGCACCUGGCUGUGCCCUCACUGGACGCUGCCUGCUGUGUCAAGGGGCCACGUACGUGCCCAGGGCUCCUGCCUUGUGUCCCCCUCAGGUGCUGAUACCCGUGUUCGCGCUGGGCCGCGCCCAGGAGCUCUGCAUCCUCCUGGAGACCUUCUGGGAGCGCAUGAACCUGAAGGUGCCCAUCUACUUCUCCACGGGGCUGACUGAGAAGGCCAACCACUACUACAAGCUGUUCAUCCCCUGGACCAACCAGAAGAUCCGCAAGACUUUCGUGCAGAGGAACAUGUUUGAGUUCAAGCACAUCAAGGCCUUCGACCGGGCUUUUGCCGACAACCCAGGACCGAUGGUUGUGUUUGCCACGCCAGGAAUGCUGCACGCUGGGCAGUCCCUGCAGAUCUUCCGGAAAUGGGCCGGAAAUGAAAAGAACAUGGUCAUCAUGCCCGGCUACUGCGUGCAGGGCACCGUCGGCCACAAGAUCCUCAGCGGUCAGCGGAAG
rnacentral:sRNA from 1 species